rnacentral:rRNA from 1 species
UACGUUCCGGGCCUUGUACACACCGCCCGUCACACCACCGAAAGCGAGUAACACCCGAAGCCGGUGGCCUAACCGCAAGGAGGGAGCCGUCGAAGGUAGGGACCCGUGAUUGGGGUG